AAAAAGUCAGGAAUGUUUCAAACCUCCGAGAGAAUCAGUCCACAUAUAUUUUUGUGUUGUUUGACUUAGUUCCUUAAAAUCCCCAGCAUCUCGGCUUUUGACCUGGCAUUCUCAUUUGAAUUCCGAUGAGGUACCAACCCCCCUUAUAUUUUACGAUACUUCACCACUAUCACCAUCACUCCAAAACCCUAGAUCUCAUAUGCAAUGCCACAAUCGCCGCCCUCAUCCACAGUCAACACCAGAACUGUUGCACACCGUCCCCACCAUACGCCACCACCAUCGCACGCUUCUCUCCACGAAUCAUAAAAACCUUGAAUUUGAACUUUUUCACCCCUGCUUACCACCAAAGAUAUAUUCAACGUCUCUCUCUCUCUCUCUCUCUCUCUCUCUCUCUCUCUCUCUCUCUCGGUAUUGUUGUUUCUUCUUCUCGAUUUCAGGUAUAACAUCGAUGUACCUGGUAUGAUUUUGUUUUCAUUUGUAGGGUUAUUGGAUCACACUUUAAAGAGUUAGUCUGCCUCUUGUAUAUAUUAGCCAUAAAACACACAGAAAUACAAUGGCAGGUCUCAUUGUACUCAUAUACACAAACAUGAACAAAUAACGGUUGAUUUCUGGUUCUUUUUUUUUUUUCGGUAUUUAUGGAACAUGGGUCUUUCUAGAAAUCCUUGUUGUCGACCUUACAAGGACAAAGCAGUUUAACUAAAGAGGAACAAACUCUGAGUUUUUUGUGUUGAACUUUUGAUAGGUUUAAAUGGAGAAGAAAAGGGAACCAGAGAUGCCUACUGAUUGUAAUUAGUUUUUCGUUUCCUCUGCAGCAAAACCCAGAUCUAAAAGGUGGGUUUUGUUUUGAAAAGGUUACUUUCAUCCUCUUAUUCCAUUUGAUUUGGGUUUUAUUUUGGUUUUUUAAUUUUUAAUUGAUGAGAAAUGAUUGUUUUUGCUAUUAAUGUGCCUUUAACAGCCACUUGUUUCUUGCAGGUUUUGGUAUGAUUAGAAGACAUUAAUCACAAAAAAAGGAAGAUGCUUGAGGUAAGUUUUUAAGGACUUAGUAAUCUUGAUUAUUCUUCUCAUUGUUUAUUUAUUCUGGCAUUUUCAAGCUUUUCAUUUGUCUUUUUCAAGCUUUUAAGGCCAUCUUUGGUACUCAGCUUCUCUGCUAAUCGAGGUGUCUUUCUAUAGGUAUAUGUGUUCAUUAAUAAAUCUAGGAAAAAGAUCUCGAUGUUCAAUCUGGUCGGCAUCCAGCUUAAAUUAUUUGACUUAUUUUUUUGAAUUUCCUUUCCCCCUUCCCCUAUGUUUCAGGUACAUUGAUUUAUAUUUUCUGAUUUACUUUUUUAAUCGUUUUUUUUCCAUUAUUGAUUUUUGAUUUACAUGUGGUUUUUUAUUCUGAUUAAAAUAAAUACAGUUUGUGGGUCUAUGUUUAAUUGUAUGUAUGUAUGUGUGUGUUUUUAUAGGAACAAUGUCUCAGGCCAUAAAAUGAAGGUACUUAAAGCAAAAUGUGUAGGUGCGGUUAAUUUCACCUGUUCUACGAUCAGACAUACACAUAUUUGUUAAGGAUUUGUUUUUAAUUUUCCAGGUUUUCGAUUUUGACUAACUGUUCAACAAUUGUAAUACAUGUUUGACAAUUUUUUUGUUCUUGAUUUGCAGGUUUUAACUGAAACCUAUUGGAUCCAUAACAAUAACAUUCCGUAGGUAAGUAUCGUACAUGAAUUUAUGUAGUGUGCUGCUAAAAAACUCAAUAAUUUGUCUUUUUGUUUGACAUUUUUGAGAUUUUUGUUUGGUAAGUCACGAUAAAGUAUUUAUUAGCUUAUUAGAUGUCAUUUUAUUUUUAACCUAUUGGAAGCUAUUGAUCUUGAGCUUUUUUUUUGUAGCAAAAGGUUAAAAUUUGUAGGCAAGGCAGGUAUUGAAAGUAACUUUCAUGGUGACAUUAUGCAUUUAUUUUUAUCACAUUUUUGUAUUUUUCAAGAAAAAAAGUUUCAAUUUUGACAAAAGUUCUAUGUUUUAAUUUGGUGGGUUUAUAAACAAACCAACAACAAAUGGUGUUGCUAUGACAUCCAUCAUUCAUUUGAUCUGCAAUAUGCUUAUUACACUUUUGGUACAAUAUUAGACAUAUUUGGUAUAAUUAUUCUUGACAAGAUCAUUUAAUGAUGUUUGAGCUAAUCCUUGUCUCCUUGGUACUUCCAGGUAUGAUUCAAGUUCCCCAUAUGUUAAGGUUUAAUACAAGAAAUUAUAGUAUACUUUUAUUUUAUUAAAUAUAAUAAUGUACUUCAUUUUUUUUGGAUUGAUUUUCAAGAGUACAAAUGUACAAUGUCUUAUUCAAAUGGAAGUGAAUUUUUUGAUAAGUGGAAGUAAGUUGUUUUAUCUAGCCAUCAACAAUUUUUGUACUUGAUGCUUUGCAUUUAGCCAUUUUUGGAUCAAAUGCCAGAAAUAGCUACAUUUUUGUCAAAUAUAACAAUUAAUAUACUUUCAUUUUUGUUUUUAUAGAUUUUCCAAAUUUUUCCAAAAUAGAAUGUCUGAGGUAAAUGAAAGUAAAUUUCUUGAGUUGUGUGUGUUGUUGUUGCUAUGUGUGUAUGUGUACUAUAUGAGAGUGUGUUUUGUGUGUAUGUGGUUGUGUAUGAUUGAUGUCGUAAACAUUCAAGUAUGAUGCCAUUUUUUUGUUUUCCUUUAUCAUCACUCGCAACGAUUAAAGACUUUACAUAAUGUCAUUUUUUAGUAUGGUAUAUUAGAACAUAAACCAAACAAGCAACAUUGUCAUUUUGUU
rnacentral:lncRNA from 1 species